GAGUUUGAUCUUGGCUCAGAUUGAACGCUGGCGGCAUGCCUUACACAUGCAAGUCGAACGGCAGCACGGGAGCUUGCUCCUGGUGGCGAGUGGCGAACGGGUGAGUAAUGCAUCGGAACGUAUCCUGGAGUGGGGGAUAACGUAGCGAAAGUUACGCUAAUACCGCAUAUUCUGUGAGCAGGAAAGCGGGGGACCUUCGGGCCUCGCGCUCUUGGAGCGGCCGAUGUCGGAUUAGCUAGUUGGUGAGGUAAAGGCUCACCAAGGCGACGAUCCGUAGCAGGUCUGAGAGGAUGAUCUGCCACACUGGAACUGAGACACGGUCCAGACUCCUACGGGAGGCAGCAGUGGGAAUUUUGGACAAUGGGGGCAACCCUGAUCCAGCCAUGCCGCGUGAGUGAAGAAGGCCUCGGUGU
rnacentral:rRNA from 1 species